rnacentral:ribozyme from 1 species
UGGAUUCUUGUGGCUUUUGCCAUAACUUCUGCGAACGGGCAAAUGCGUAAUCGUGAUCUUUCGUCGAAAAUCCGUGAAACCACU